ensembl:lncRNA
AGGGCGGGGCGGAGCGGGGGCGCUGGGGGCGGGGCGAAGCCGUCGGCGGAUCGGCUCGUGGAGCGCUGGACUGACCUCCCUAGGCUUCCGGGGCGCCCCAGCGUGGACCAUGCUGCAAGCUUCCGGCCGGCGGGGGGACGUUUUACUGCGGAACACCCCUCAUCUAGACGGGGCGAUCUAAAUUGGGUGCCCACCAUCACACCGUCCGCGCAUACAGAGACAACCCAACCGACAACGUGGCAAGGCCUCAUAUCAGCCAACCUUGAAGCCAGUUGGCAGAGAGCCUGGGAAAUGUUUCCAGGGAUCAGUCCUGGAAGACAGAGCAGAGCAGGGGAAGGGAAGAGAAAGGACCUCCAAGCAAGCGGGGAAAUAACCAGAUAACCAGUACAGUGAAUUUCACCAAGGAAUCAUGUUGUUCAACUUCUUGCAAAUUGAAUCUUGAUAAAUAGAAGUCAAUCCACGUUGUCAUGGAGGAGGAGCAUGUGAUCUGGAGCUGAGGACCAGCUGCCUCCUACUAGCAGACUGCCUGGUGGCCGUGGUGAAGACCACCAUGUUUCUUCCAGGCAAGUCUUCGCAGGUUCUUCUUCCCCUGAUGAGCCCUUUGGAUGAUGGCGUUCCUGGAGGGAGCCUGGGAGUGUUGUCACUCACUUUCUUGGGAUCUCAGAUGAUACCAUUGCUGUCUCAUUUAUAUAUCCUGUUACAUCUGUUCCUUCCACUGGACCUUAUGCAGAUUCUAGGGUGUCAGGAAUUUGAACAGGACUCAGAAGGGAAGGCUCAUCUCUCUCCACUAUGUCUGGGACCUCAGCUAGAAGACGUGAAGGCAGAGGAUGAGCGUCAUCGGCAGUUUGCACACUUGCCUGUCUGGCAGUUGAUGCUGCGAAGAUUCAAAUAACUGGGGUCCUGGGGCCUCUCUCUGUGCCCUUUCCCUGUGGUCUCUCCAGACUGGUGACUUCAGCGUAACUGGACUUCUCCCAUGUGGGUUGCCAAUAAUAUGUCCUGAGAGAGAGAGAGAGAGAAAGAGAGAAAGAGAGAGAGAAAGAGAGAGGGAGGCGAGCCAGCUGGAUACGGUAUCACUGUAUCACCUGUUCUAACCUGGCUUUGGAAGUCCCACAAUCUCACUUCCACCACAUUCUAUUAGUUAGAAGCCCGUCAUGAGGGCCGGCCCAUAUUCAAAUGGAGGGGAAUUAGACCCACCUUUUGUGGGAGGAGCUUCAAAGAAUUUUAAGACAUGUUUUAAAACUACCACAAUCCCCACUUAUGCUUUAGGGGCACCAAAUCACCCAUCGAUCCUUGAAUUUGUGGCCAUGCUCUUACUUAAACACUACCCUUUUGUUGCAGUGCCAUUGGUACCACAAGUUUACCUCCUAAAUUUCUACUCACCAUUUAUGAUUCAGCUUAGAUGCCAUCUGCAUUGUAAUCUUCUACAGCCUUACCUUUGGAAGUGAUCACACCUUCUCUGUUCUGCCCAGGGCCCUAUUUCAAUUUUCCUUAGGCGACCUGAAUACGUAUUUGUUAAAUGGAUAAACAAAAUAGCAUAAUAAAACGCCAAAUGAGAAAGUGACUAUAAGUGAUAUGUACAACAUCUUUUUGAGUUUGCUUCUGUUUGUGUUCAUUUUCCCCUCUGGAUUUUUAGUGUCUUGAAGGCAGGGAAUGAGUUUGACCUACCCUUGUAGCCACCUCCCACCCCUGCUUCCACCUCCAGCUCUCCCAGCAGUGCUUUGGCCAGAGUAGGCUUUCAAAGAACGUUCGUUAGAUGAACGAGCCUGCCUGCCUCCCCCAAAACACGCACACAUGCGCGCGCACACACACGCACACACACACACGUGUGCAUAUUUUGCUAAUUUGCUCCUUUUCUAUUAACCAGGUAAUAUUUGGUUUGAGGCACAUUCGAGCAGUUGGAAGAGAUCAUCUCCAAAUGCUGAAAGAGCAUGAAAUGCUCUUAAUCCACCAGACGCCAUAGGUCAGAGUGAAUGGUAUUUGUCUUGGCUACCCUCCAACCAACAACCACUUUCCUGGAGAAGGCCCAUGCUGUCGUUCCAAACAGACAAGUGUCACCCUUCAGCCCAUCCUUUCGAGCCCCUUCUUUCCCUGACUUUCUCUUCUCCAAAGGCAGAACUUUCUGGGCCACAGCAAACGGAUUACCUAAGAUCAUUCUACUCAUAGUAAAUAUCAGUGCUAAAACAAACAAACAAAAAACAACUCACUGUUGAGCAGUUUCCGAUUUAUAAAUAAGAGAUGUUCCGAAAAUUUUCAGGGGAUACUUUGCAAGCCUACCUCGUUGCACACAUGAACCUAAAGUUCCUCAGGUGACUCACAAAACACUCUUCUGGCAAUAAUAUCUCAAAAUACUGAUUAGUUGCCAUGAAAAAAAUGAUACAAUGCUAGUAAAUAAACAGAACUGAAAAAAAAAAGUGGGCAUAGUUUUUGAAACAACUCCAGCAGGCUGAUGUUUGAGGGAAAAGCUCAUUUAAGGAAAGAAAAAAUGAGAAUGUGGUUGCAGAAUUUGGG